rnacentral:rRNA from 1 species
UACGAAGGGGGCUAGCGUUGUUCGGAAUUACUGGGCGUAAAGCGCGCGCAGGCGGCUAUCCAAGUCAGUGGUGAAAGCCCGGAGCUCAACUCCGGCACUGCCAUUGAAACUGUUUAGCUUGAGGAUGAGAGAGGUGAGUGGAAUUCCCAGUGUAGAGGUGAAAUUCGUAGAUAUUGGGAAGAACACCGGUGGCGAAGGCGGCUCACUGGCUCAUUACUGACGCUCAGGCGCGAUAGCGUGGGGAUCAAACAGG